GCAAGUCGAACGGUAGGAUUCCUUCGGGAAUCUGAGAGUGGCGAACGGGUGAGUAACACGUAGAUGAUCUGCCUUGAAGUUGGGGAUAGCUCAUAGAAAUAUGGGGUAAUACCGGAUAAUAUCUUAUUGCUUUGGUGAUUUGAUGAAAGGGGCUUCGGCCUCGCUUUAAGAUGAGUCUGCGGCUUAUUAGCUAGUUGGUAGGGUAAUGGCCUACCAAGGCAGUGAUGAAUAGCCGGCCUGAGAGGGUGACC
rnacentral:rRNA from 1 species